ACUUCUUUAGCUGAGAAAGGAUGGCCCAAAGCAAUAAAAUGAGAGUACUUAGAAAGCCUGUCAACCACUACUAAAACAGUAUCCUUUCCUUUGAUCCGAGGAAGACCUCCAAUGAAAUCCAUAGAAAUGUCCAUCCAAAUCUGAGUGGGAAUUGGUAAUGGCUGUAAUAAACCCCCUGGAGCUAAUGUGGAGUAUUUAUUCAUCUGGCAUAUAUCACAUGCUUCUACAUACUGCUUGAUAUCUUUUUUCAUGCCCUCCCAAAAUAGAAAACUGGCAAUUCUCUUGUAUGUUCUUAAAAAACCUGAAUGUCCCCCCAUUGGAGUAUUAUGGCACUCUGCUAAAAUUAUAGGGAUUCUAUUAGAUGUUUUGGAAAUGACCAAUUUUCCUUUAAACAAUAGUAAUCCUCCCUUCAAUUCGAAACCAGCAUGUGAAUUAGGAUCAACCACUAAAUCUUGCAUCACCUUUUUCCAUUUGGAAUCCUGUUGAACAUCCAAUAUCCAAUCUUCAGUUUCUUCAUUGGACAAAACUGAAAUAGUUGAAUACAUACUCUUUCUCGAAAGAGCAUCAGCAGCAGUAUUCUCACUUCCAGAACAGCCCCUAAACCCUUGCUUGAUGCAUCAGUCUCAAUGAUAAACACCUUCUCAAAAUCAGGGACUGCUAAUAUUGGUAAGUCAAUCAUGGCAGAUUUGAGAGAUUGAAAAGCAGAAACAGCUUCUUCUGACCAAUGGAAAUUAUCCUUCUUUAAUAAAUCAGUAAGAGGUUUUGCUAACUUGCCAUAAUCCCUCACAAACCUUCUGUAAUAUCCUGUUAAGCCCAAGAACCCUCUUAGUCCUUUAAUGUCAGUUGGAAUUGGCCAAUUUUGCAUAGCUGCAACCUUAGAUUUAUCAGCUGAAACUCCUUCUCCUGAAAUUAUGUGGCCAAGGUAUUCCAAACUCAAUUGACCAAAACUACAUUUUUUCUUAUUAGCCUUGAGUGAAUGUUGAGCUAACAAUUCUAGUAUUUGCUUUAGAUGAGAAACAUGUGAAGACAAAUCGGGGCUGUAAACCAAUAUGUCAUCAAAAAA